rnacentral:rRNA from 1 species
AUUGAACGCUGGCGGCAUGCCUUACACAUGCAAGUCGAACGGUAACGGGCCUUCGGGUGCCGACGAGUGGCGAACGGGUGAGUAAUGCAUCGGAACGUACCUUUCAGUGGGGGAUAACGUAGCGAAAGUUACGCUAAUACCGCAUAUUCUGUGAGCAGGAAAGCAGGGGAUCGCAAGACCUUGCGCUGAUUGAGCGGCCGAUGUCAGAUUAGCUAGUUGGUGAGGUAAAGGCUCACCAAGGCGACGAUCUGUAGCGGGUCUGAGAGGAUGAUCCGCCACACUGGGACUGAGACACGGCCCAGACUCCUACGGGAGGCAGCAGUGGGGAAUUUUGGACAAUGGGCGAAAGCCUGAUCCAGCCAUGCCGCGUGAGUGAAGAAGGCCUUC